rnacentral:lncRNA from 13 species
GCCCAAUAGUCGAUGUCUAAGCAUGGGCGCGAAAUACGAAUUUGAAUUGUAGUUUGAUGGAAAUCUUACAAUAGUUUGCCUUACAAAAUUAAUUUCUUUUUCUAGAAUUUUGAAAACACUGAAAAUACCGAAAUUGAAAAUACAUUGGGUUUUAAAGAGAACAAUUCAGAUAUAUCAACUGCAUCAAUAAAUAAUAAUAUAUUAAAGGAUAUUACGUAUAAAAGAAAUGUUGACUUAAAUACAAAAAAAUGUGUUCAAGUAAAGUCAUCAAUUAAUUGCAACAAAGAGCUAUUAAUAUCUAAAUCACAAUCAGUGGAGCCUUGUGUUUUCAUAUCAGAUGAAUCAGUCAAUGGACAAGCCAAUGAAGAUACAAAUAUAAACAACACAAAAUUAAAAAAUCAAAAUAUAAAAUCAACUAUAACAACAGCAGUAACACAUAAAGGUAUUAAGAAAUGCAGACAAAACACAUCUCACAGUCAGCAACGUACUACAAAAAAAGGAUAUUUUGAAAAUACUCUUUCGUAUACAAAAUGUCUAAGCACAAAUAUGGAGAAUGAUAUGAAGAUGCGUGAAGAAUAUUAUAAUAAAAAACUUAAAUUUAUGGAACGUGAUGUUAUAGCAAAAGAACGAAUUGCUGCGGCUAUUGAAACUUUUUGUGCAAUAAAUCAAGAAAAUAUAACUUACAAAGAAGUAGAAAAUUUGGAAGACACAGGUUAUUAGUUUAAAAGAAAAAUGUUUAUUAAUGUUUAUUUUUUUUAAUGUUUAUUUUUUAUUUUAAACUGAUCAAAAUUGUUGUGCCAAAGCUGCACAUAACUGAUAAUUGUUAAUACAUAAGUUGUUAAUACAUAGUGCAAUAUUAAAUGUAUUAUGUGUUAUGUGUUCAUUAUAUGUG